AUAUUCAUAAGAGUAUAGAGCCAUUCGUACUCAUAAAUUAUUUUCGAUGAUGGAGCUUCCAAAUCGACGAUCCACUUGUUAAAUAUGAUCUAGAGUAUUUGAAACUUUUAAAAAAUAAAUUUCGUAAUUUUUUGAAAUCAUAUAAUAAAUUCUAUCAAGCGGGCAUAAAAUAAACAAUUAAAAUCGAACGACCUCCUAAAAAUAAAUUAUCGGAUCUUUAAAUUUAAAAUCUAAGUUAUUGAUCUUUAUCUAGAUAGUGAAUAAUAUUUAUAUAAAAAAUUCAAUCUAUUUUAAUUUUUUUGCACCGCUAAACUAGCAAGUAUUCCAUACUGGCUAUUAAAAAUUAUCAAUUUUGUGACCUUUUGAUCAUAAGGCAAAUAAUGUCGAAAUAUUAUUAAAUUUGAUUUCUAACCGUUUUAAAUGCUCUAGAUACAGCCGAUUCGGAAGCUCUAUUAUCGAAAAUGACUUGUGAGUACGAGAGUGAUCAUACUCAUAAGAGUAUAGUAGCCUGACUUUAUAUAUAUAAUUGAGCUCCUCUAUUUUUAAAAGUACCGAAUUAUUAGUGUUUGUAGAUUUUUGGUCUUUAAGUUAAGGGAUGUGUACUUGGAAUAAUAGUAGUUUUCUAAGGGUUGAGUGAGUAUGUGGUUCGUUGAAUAAUAUGAUUUAAUGGAUAAAAAUAAUUAAAAGAAUAAAGCUAAUGGUAAAAAAACUUACAAGUACUAAGUACUUAAUGUUUCUAAAAACACCAUAGCCUAACUAUAUAUAUUGAGUGAGGCUACUAUGCUUCUGGAAGCACGGAGCCUUCCGUGCUUCCAGGUCGUUUUCGAUGUUGCGACUUUGGAAUCGUCGAUCGGUUCCGUUAAACUUGAUCUAGAGUAUUUAAAGUACUUAGAAAAUAAAUUUUAUGAUUUUUUGAUAUCAUUUGCCUAGUGAUCGAAGGGACUCAAAAUCAAUAAUUUUAAUGACCGUGGUGAGCCGUUUGCAAGUUUAACGGUGUAGAAAUAUCCAAAUCACGUGAAAUUUUGAUAGAAAAUUUUUUAUACUAUAUAAAACAAGAUCAAUAUCUUUGAUCUAAAAUUUUAAUGUCAUAUUAUCACGUUUUGUAAGAUUUUUAUUUUCAGCCGUUGAUUUUGAGCCCCUUAGUUCACUAGGCAAAUGAAAUUGAAAAAUUACAAAAUUUAUUUUCUAGGUAUUUCAAAUACUCUAGAUCAAGUUUAAUAGAGCCAAUCGACGAUUCGAAAGUCGCAACAUCAAAAACAACCUGGAAGCACCCUGAAAGCACGAAAGGCUCCGUGCUUCCAGAAGCAUAAUAGCCUCACUCUAUAUAUAUUAACGAUAGAUUUACUUUAUUACUCAAUCCUACUGCUUUAUUAUCAUAACCAGAAGAAAAAU
rnacentral:lncRNA from 1 species